UCCGAAGGGGGCGAGCGUUGUUCGGAUUUACUGGGCGUAAAGGGCGCGUAGGCGGCCCUCUUAGUCGCGGGUGAAAGCCCCGGGCUCAACCUGGGAACGGCGCGCGAAACGGGGGGGCUGGAGUUCGGGAGAGGUGCGUGGAAUUCCCAGUGUAGAGGUGAAAUUCGUAGAUAUUGGGAAGAACACCGGUGGCGAAGGCGGCGCUCUGGACCGAGACUGACGCUGAGGCGCGAAAGCGUGGGGAGCAAACAGG
rnacentral:rRNA from 1 species